rnacentral:rRNA from 1 species
CGUAGCAAUGCUACGUCUUACAUAGUGGCGGACGGGUGAGUAACACGUGAGAAUCUGCCUUCAGGACGGGGAUAACAGUAGGAAACCACUGCUAAUACCGGAUAAGCCGAAAGGUGAAAGAUUUAUUGCCAGAAGAGGAGCUCGCGUCUGAUUAGCUAGAUGGGGAGGUAAAAGCUCACCAUGGCGACGAUCAGUAGCUGGUCUGAGAGGAUGAGCAGCCACACUGGGACUGAGACACGGCCCAGACUCCUACGGGAGGCAGCAGUGGGGAAUUUUCCGCAAUGGGCGCAAGCCUGACGGAGCAAUACCGCGUGAGGGAGGAAGGCUUUUGGGUUGUAAACCUCAAAAAUUAGGGAAGAAGAAAGUGACGGUACCUAAUCUAAGCAUCGGCUAACUCCGUGCCAGCAGCCGCGGUAAUACG